rnacentral:misc_RNA from 1 species
UCGUAACAAGGUUUCCGUAGGUGAACCUGCGGAAGGAUCAUUACCGAGUGAGGGCCCUCUGGGUCCAACCUCCCACCCGUGUUUAUUUUACCUUGUUGCUUCGGCGGGCCCGCCUUUACUGGCCGCCGGGGGGCUCACGCCCCCGGGCCCGCGCCCGCCGAAGACACCCUCGAACUCUGUCUGAAGAUUGAAGUCUGAGUGAAAAUAUAAAUUAUUUAAAACUUUCAACAACGGAUCUCUUGGUUCCGGCAUCGAUGAAGAACGCAGCGAAAUGCGAUACGUAAUGUGAAUUGCAAAUUCAGUGAAUCAUCGAGUCUUUGAACGCACAUUGCGCCCCCUGGUAUUCCGGGGGGCAUGCCUGUCCGAGCGUCAUUGCUGCCCUCAAGCCCGGCUUGUGUGUUGGGCCCCGUCCUCCGAUUUCCGGGGGACGGGCCCGAAAGGCAGCGGCGGCACCGCGUCCGGUCCUCGAGCGUAUGGGGCUUUGUCACCCGCUCUGUAGGCCCGGCCGGCGCUUGCCGAUCAACCCAAAUUUUUAUCCAGGUUGACCUCGGAUCAGGUAGGGAUACCCGCUGAACUUAAGCAUAUCAAUAA